UACGGAGGGUGCGAGCGUUGUCCGGAAUCACUGGGCGUAAAGGGCGCGUAGGUGGCGGGACAAGCGUGCGGUGAAAGCUCGGGGCUCAACCCCGCGUCGGCCGUGCGAACUGUUUUGCUUGAGCACUGUAGAGGCAGGCGGAAUUCCGGGUGUAGCGGUGGAAUGCGUAGAGAUCCGGAAGAACACCGGUGGCGAAGGCGGUCUGCUGGGCCAAGACUGACGCUGAGGCGCGACAGCGUGGGGAGCAAACAGG
rnacentral:rRNA from 1 species